GUACUACUCCCUUCGUGCGAAAAAGUUUGUCCCAAACUUGUCUCUUAAUGGAUGUAUCUAGCACUAACUUGAUGCUUGAUACAUCCAUUUGAGGGAAGUUUUUUCGUACGGAGGGAGUACUAG
rfam:Triticum aestivum genome assembly, contig: Triticum_aestivum_CS42_TGACv1_scaffold_272512_3DS